GAUGAACGCUGGCGGCGUGCCUAAUACAUGCAAGUCGAGCGAACAGACGAGGAGCUUGCUCCUCUGACGUUAGCGGCGGACGGGUGAGUAACACGUGGAUAACCUACCUAUAAGACUGGGAUAACUUCGGGGAAACCGGAGCUAAUACCGGAUAAUAUAUUGAACCGCAUGGUUCAAUAGUGAAAGACGGUUUUGCUUUCACUUAUAGAUGGAUCCGCGCCGCAUUAGCUAGUUGGUAAGGUAACGGCUUACCAAGGCAACGAUGCGUAGCCGACCUGAGAGGGUGAUCGGCCACACUGGAACUGAGACACGGUCCAGUCUCCUACGGGAGGCAGCAGUAGGGAAUCUUCCGCAAUGGGCGAAAGCUUGACGGAGCAACGCCGCGUGAGUGAUGAAGGUCUUCGGAUCGUAAAACUCUGUUAUUAGGGAAGAACAAAUGUGUAAGUAACUAUGCACGUCUUGACGGUACCUAAUCAGAAAGCCACGGCUAACUACGUG
rnacentral:rRNA from 1 species